rnacentral:rRNA from 1 species
UACGGAGGGGGCUAGCGUUGUUCGGAAUUACUGGGCGUAAAGCGCGCGUAGGCGGACCUGCAAGUCGGGGGUGAAAGCCCGAGGCUCAACCUCGGAACUGCCUUCGAUACUGCGGGUCUCGAGUCCGGGAGAGGUGAGUGGAAUUCCUAGUGUAGAGGUGAAAUUCGUAGAUAUUAGGAAGAACACCAGUGGCGAAGGCGGCUGCACUGGCCCGGUACUGACGCCGUGAGGCGCGAAAGCGUGGGGAGCAAACAGG